AACGAACGCUGGCGGCAGGCUUAACACAUGCAAGUCGAGCGCAUCCUUCGGGGUGAGCGGCAGACGGGUGAGUAACGCGUGGGGACGUACCCUUUCCUACGGAAUAGCUCCGGGAAACUGGAAUUAAUACCGUAUACGCCCUUAGGGGGAAAGAUUUAUCGGGGAAGGAUCGGCCCGCGUUGGAUUAGCUGGUUGGUGGGGUAAAGGCCUACCAAGGCGACGAUCCAUAGCUGGUCUGAGAGGAUGAUCAGCCACAUUGGGACUGAGACACGGCCCAAACGCCUACGGGAGGCAGCAGUGGGGAAUAUUGGACAAUGGGCGCAAGCCUGAUCCAGCCAUGCCGCGUGAGUGAUGAAGGCCUUAGGGUUGUAAAGCUCUUUCAGUAGGGAAGAUAAUGACGGUACCUACAGAAGAAGCCCCGGCUAACUUCUUGCCAGCCGCCGCGGUAA
rnacentral:rRNA from 1 species